GGCAGAGUAGAUAACUUGCGUCAAGUGCCAAGGGAUGGGACGUUGCCCUUGGACGAAAAGCUGUAUUGCUUGCGGUAAGUUGUCGCGUUCGCUGUC
rnacentral:ncRNA from 2 species